UGGGGAAUAUUGCACAAUGGGCGCAAGCCUGAUGCAGCCAUGCCGCGUGUAUGAAGAAGGCCUUCGGGUUGUAAAGAACUUUCAGUCGGGAGGAAGGUGGUAAGGUUAAUAACCUUAUCAAUUGACGUUACCGACAGAAGAAGCACCGGCUAACUCCGUGCCAGCAGCCGCGGUAAUACGGAGGGUGCAAGCGUUAAUCGGAAUUACUGGGCGUAAAGCGCACGCAGGCGGUUGAUUGAGUCAGAUGUGAAAUCCCCGGGCUUAACCCGGGAAUUGCAUCUGAUACUGGUCAGCUAGAGUCUUGUAGAGGGGGGUAGAAUUCCAUGUGUAGCGGUGAAAUGCGUAGAGAUGUGGAGGAAUACCGGUGGCGAAGGCGGCCCCCUGGACGAAGACUGACGCUCAGGUGCGAAAGCGUGGGGAGCAAACAGG
rnacentral:rRNA from 1 species